CCUACGGGAGGCAGCAGUAGGGAAUCUUCCACAAUGGGCGAAAGCCUGAUGGAGCAACGCCGCGUGAGUGAAGAAGGUUUUCGGAUCGUAAAACUCUGUUGUAAGGGAAGAACAAGUACAGUAGUAACUGGCUGUACCUUGACGGUACCUUAUUAGAAAGCCACGGCUAACUACGUGCCAGCAGCCGCGGUAAUACGUAGGUGGCAAGCGUUGUCCGGAAUUAUUGGGCGUAAAGCGCGCGCAGGCGGUUCCUUAAGUCUGAUGUGAAAGCCCACGGCUCAACCGUGGAGGGUCAUUGGAAACUGGGGAACUUGAGUGCAGAAGAGGAGAGCGGAAUUCCACGUGUAGCGGUGAAAUGCGUAGAGAUGUGGAGGAACACCAGUGGCGAAGGCGGCUCUCUGGUCUGUAACUGACGCUGAGGCGCGAAAGCGUGGGGAGCGAACAGGAUUAGAUACCCUGGUAGUCCACGCCGUAAACGAUGAGUGCUAAGUGUUAGAGGGUUUCCGCCCUUUAGUGCUGCAGCAAACGCAUUAAGCACUCCGCCUGGGGAGUACGGCCGCAAGGUUGAAACUCAAAGGAAUUGACGG
rnacentral:rRNA from 1 species